rnacentral:lncRNA from 1 species
UAUCUUCCUUAAGUACUAAAUCAAUCCAUAAAUAAACAUGGAUAAAAUAUAAAUAAAUCUUAAAUUUUCAAUUCUUUAAUAAUUUAAAAAAAAAUCUGUAUUUUUUCAUUAUUAAUUUUCAUCCAUCAAUUAAUAUUCAUUCAUCUAACUAUAAAUUAUCACUUGCUAAUGGAUUUUCAUUUGUGAAUAAAUUUUUAGCCACAAAUAAAAAUUCAUCCAUAGCCUAUCUUCAUUCAAUUCAAUUAUUUAUCCAACUCAACCUAAUUACAUCCAUGCACCAUCUUGUCUAUCACAUGGCUUAGGUUUAUAAUGGUUCAAUUUUGAUUAAUAAAAAAAACCAAUUAUAAUUGAUUGGAUUACAAAUAAUUAUUUUAGAAGUUUUUAUAAAAUGCACGGAUGUUGAUGACAAGUCUAGAACAGUUGUCAUUGUCUUGCUAAGAAAAUUUUUAUCAAGAAAAAUUUGAACUUGCUUAUUGUCCUUUGGUUCUU